AGUGAACGCUGGCGGUAGGCCUAACACAUGCAAGUCGAACGGCAGCACAGUAAGAGCUUGCUCUUACGGGUGGCGAGUGGCGGACGGGUGAGGAAUACAUCGGAAUCUACUUUUUCGUGGGGGAUAACGUAGGGAAACUUACGCUAAUACCGCAUACGACCUACGGGUGAAAGCAGGGGAUCUUCGGACCUUGCGCGAUUGAAUGAGCCGAUGUCGGAUUAGCUAGUUGGCGGGGUAAAGGCCCACCAAGGCGACGAUCCGUAGCUGGUCUGAGAGGAUGAUCAGCAACACGGGAACUGGGAAAGGUCCCGAACCCCUACGGGAGGCAGCAGUGGGAAAUAUUGGACAAUGGGCGAAAGCCUGUUCCGGCCAUCCGGGGUGGUUAAAGAAGGCUUUGGGGUUGUAAAGCCCUUUUGUGGGGAAAGAAAGGCGCCAGGUUAAUACCCGGUGGUUUGGCCGGUACCAAAGAAUAAGCACCGGCUAACUUCGUG
rnacentral:rRNA from 1 species